rnacentral:rRNA from 1 species
UACAGAGGGGGCAAGCGUUGUUCGGAAUCACUGGGCGUAAAGGGCGCGUAGGCGGACAAGUAAGUCGGGCGUGAAAUCCCUAGGCUCAACCUAGGAACUGCACUCGAAACUGCAUGUCUUGAGUACCGGAGAGGAAAGCGGAAUACCUGGUGUAGAGGUGAAAUUCGUAGAUAUCAGGUGGAACACCAGUGGCGAAGGCGGCUUUCUGGACGGUAACUGACGCUGAGGCGCGAAAGACGUGGGGAGCAAACAGG